CCUACGGGGGGCAGCAGUGGGGGAUAUUGCACAAUGGGGGAAACCCUGAUGCAGCGACGCCGCGUGGGCGAAGAAGUAUUUCGGUAUGUAAAGCCCUAUCAGCAGGGAAGAAGAAAUGACGGUACCUGAGUAAGAAGCACCGGCUAAAUACGUGCCAGCAGCCGCGGUAAUACGUAGGGGGCAAGCGUUAUCCGGAUUUACUGGGUGUAAAGGGAGCGUAUACGGCGAUGCAAGUCUGAAGUGAAAGCCCGGGGCUCAACCCCGGGACUGCUUUGGAAACUGUAUGGCUGGAGUGCUGGAGAGGCAAGCGGAAUUCCUAGUGUAGCGGUGAAAUGCGUAGAUAUUAGGAAGAACACCAGUGGCGAAGGCGGCUUGCUGGACAGUAACUGACGUUGAGGCUCGAAAGCGUGGGGAGCAAACAGGAUUAGAUACCCUUGUAGUC
rnacentral:rRNA from 1 species